rnacentral:rRNA from 1 species
AUGAACGCUGGCGGCGUGCCUAAUACAUGCAAGUCGAGCGAACAGACGAGGAGCUUGCUCCUCUGGCGUUAGCGGCGGACGGGUGAGUAACACGUGGAUAACCUACCUAUAAGACUGGGAUAACUUCGGGAAACCGGAGCUAAUACCGGAUAAUAUAUUGAACCGCAUGGUUCAAUAGUGAAAGACGGUUUUGCUGUCACUUAUAGAUGGAUCCGCGCCGCAUUAGCUAGUUGGUAAGGUAACGGCUUACCAAGGCGACGAUGCGUAGCCGGCCUGAGAGGGUGAUCGGCCACACUGGAACUGAGACACGGUCCAGACUCCUACGGGAGGCAGCAGUAGGGAAUCUUCCGCAAUGGGCGAAAGCCUGACGGAGCAACGCCGCGUGAGUGAUGAAGGUCUUCGGAUCGUAAAACUCUGUUAUUAGGGAAGAACAAAUGUGUAAGUAACUAUGCACGUCUUGACGGUACCUAAUCAGAAAGCCACGGCUAACUACGUG